UAAACCUUAAGUUAAACAAACUAGAGACCUUCCAAGUCUAAAAUAAGAAUCCUUAGGUUUAA
rnacentral:tRNA from 1 species